AAUGACGAACAAGCCAGGCCCCUCCCUGCACAGCUGCCAGUCGUCUCAGGAAGACACACACGCAAACACCACUGCACCCACACCUGCUCUGAUCGACGUAUUCACGCCAUACCUUGGGGAGCUCAGCUCAGAUUGUGGUUGGAGCACAGAUCAGUACUUCAUUCCUUUUUAUGGCUGAAUAACAUUCGGCUGUGCGGAUAUACUACAUUUUAUUUCUCCAUUCAUCAAGCCAUGGACAUCUGGGUUGCUUCCACCUUCUGGCUAUUAUGAACAGUGCUGCUACGAACCAAACUUCUCCCUUAAACCCAGCUCCCAACAUGCCUAUGACUGGGUAAUCUUGUCUCACCCUGGGCCCCUGAAGCUGCGUUCAUAAAAUAAGGCGGUCAGAACCUUCGCGGCCUGAACAACAUCACUAUCGCUCGUUCACGGGUGUGUGUGUGAAGGUGGCGUGUACCCCGCAGCUGUCCCACCAUUGCUGGAAGCUGGAGACUGGAUCUGGACCAGCCUGCCUCAUCUUCCCGGAACUCAUGGCUAGCAGGGGAGACACAGGGCAGCAGGAUGACGGUGGCAGGUGUCGCCGCUCUGGCUGGCAUUUAGGAAUCUGUGUCGGCGAGGCUGGGGGUACACCAACGUGGAGGCUCCCCCAAACUGCCUGAUGCCACAGAAGACCACAUGCUCUGAUGCCAUUCCUACGAAGCUCAGGAACGGACAAAACAUCCAGAAUGACAGGACCAGGAACAACAGUCACCUCUAGGGGCAGGUUAAUGACUGGACGGGAGAAAGAGGGAACGCCCGGGGGUGGUGGAGAUGCACCCCAUCUCAAUCCUGGCAACGGGUCUGUAACUUGAUUCCAUCGUUAAAACUCACUGAAUGCAACAUUUAAGGUCUGUACCUCUCCCUGUUCAUAGACUAGACCUUAAAAACGUGUG